GACGAACGCUGGCGGCGUGCUUAACACAUGCAAGUCGAACGGGAAGGUCCGGCUUUUGGGGGGUGGUCGAGUGGCGAACGGGUGAGUAACACGUGGGUUACCUGCACUUGACUGUGGGAGAACUUCAUGAAGCUGGGGCUAAUAGCGGCUAGGAGCUCCUGCUGCAUGGUGGGGGUUGGAAAGUUUCGGUGGUUGGGGAUGGACUCGCGUCUUAUCAGGUUGUUGGUGGGGUAGUGGCUUAGCAAGGCUUGGACGGGUAGCAGUCCUGAUAGGGUCAGCGGACCCAUUGGGACUGAGAUACGGCCCAGACUCCUACGGGACGCAGCAGUGGGGAAUAUUGCACAAUGCGCGGAAGGCUGAUGCAACCCAGCCGCGUGGCGGAUGACGGCCUUCGCGUUGUAAUCUGCUUCCCUCUGUGACGAAGCGUGAGUGACGGUACCGGGUAAAGAAGCACCGGCUAACUACGUG
rnacentral:rRNA from 1 species